CCUAAGUCCAGUUUCCCAGCACACAUCCCAAACAACUCGUAGUCACCUGGAACUCCAGCUUCAGUGAUCGUACGCUCUCGUCUGGAUUCCACAGAUUAGAAUAUUUUGAUAAACAGUGACAGAAAUUGGAGACAUCAAAACAGGUCCUUGACAGAAACUGAACAGAUUAGCAUAACUGAUCUUGGACAC